rnacentral:sRNA from 1 species
CCGCCCCUACCAGCCCCCUCCCCGGGCCGGGCGCCGGACGGUGGGCGGCUGCGAGCGGGCGGGCAGGCUGCGGAGGACGCGCCGCCUGCGCCUCCCUCCCUGCGUGCCUCGCCCCGGGCGUCCCGGGGCUGCCGCGGUGCGCGGGUGCCGGGCCCUGCCUCGCCGGCCAUGGGGGAAGGGGGCGCCGUGGGGCGCCGCCGGCCCUUCCCCGGGGCGCCGCGGCGGCGCUGGUGGCGGCGGCAGCAGCAGCAGCAGCGGCAGCGGCAGCGGUGGUGGCCGGGCCGCGGCGGCGGCGGCGAGGGCGCGGGGCGCGCCACCAUGGGCCUGGCCGGGCUGCAGGAGAACGUAUUUACCGGGCAGUCAAAGAUCUAUUCCUACAUGAGCCCGAACAAAUGCUCUGGAAUGCGUUUCCCCCUUCAGGAAGAGAACUCAGUUGCACAUCACGAAGUCAAAUGCCAGGGGAAACCAUUAGCCGGAAUCUACAGGAAACGAGAAGAGAAAAGAAAUGCUGGGAACGCAGUACGGAGUGCCGUGAAGUCCGAGGAACAGAAGAUCAAAGACGCCAGGAGAGGUCCCCUGGCACCUUUUCCAAACCAAAAAUCUGAAGCAGCAGAACCUCCAAAAACUCCACCCUCAUCUUGUGAUUCCACCAAUGCAGCCAUCGCCAAGCAAGCCCUGAAAAAGCCCAUCAAGGGCAAACAGGCCCCCCGAAAAAAAGCUCAAGGAAAAACGCAACAGAAUCGCAAACUUACGGAUUUCUACCCUGUCCGAAGGAGCUCCA